CCUACGGGGGGCAGCAGUCGGGAAUAUUGCGCAAUGGAGGAAACUCUGACGCAGUGACGCCGCGUAUAGGAAGAAGGUUUUCGGAUUGUAAACUAUUGUCGUGAGGGAAGAAAUUGACAGUACCUCAGGAGGAAGCUCCGGCUAACUAUGUGCCAGCAGCCGCGGUAAUACAUAGGGAGCAAGCGUUAUCCGGAUUUAUUGGGUGUAAAGGGCGUGUAGGCGGGACUGCAAGUCAGAUGUGAAAACCACGGGCUCAACCUGUGGCCUGCAUUUGAAACUGUAGUUCUUGAGUACUGGAGAGGUAG
rnacentral:rRNA from 1 species